UACGUAGGGGGCAAGCGUUGUCCGGAUUAUUGGGCGUAAAGAGCGUGUAGGCGGCCAUACAGGUCAGCUGUGAAAACUCGAGGCUCAACCUCGAGACGUCGGCGGAAACCAUCUGGCUAGAGUCCGGAAGAGGAGAGUGGAAUUCCUGGUGUAGCGGUGAAAUGCGCAGAUAUCAGGAAGAACACCCGUGGCGAAGGCGGCUCUCUGGGACGGUACUGACGCUGAGACGCGAAAGCGUGGGGAGCGAACAGG
rnacentral:rRNA from 1 species